rnacentral:rRNA from 1 species
UGAGGAAUAUUGGUCAAUGGGGCGAGAGCCUGAACCAGCCAAGUCGCGUGAGGGAAGACGGUCCUACGGAUUGUAAACCUCUUUUGUCGGGGAACAAAAGGCGCCACGCGUGGUGUAUAGAGUGUACCCGAAGAAAAAGCAUCGGCUAACUCCGUGCCAGCAGCCGCGGUAAUACGGAGGAUGCGAGCGUUAUCCGGAUUUAUUGGGUUUAAAGGGUGCGCAGGCGGCGGAUCAAGUCAGCGGUCAAACUUCGGGGCUCAACCCGUUCGUUCGUCGU